rnacentral:rRNA from 1 species
UACGUAGGGUGCGAGCGUUGUCCGGAAUUAUUGGGCGUAAAGAGCUUGUAGGCGGUUUGUCGCGUCUGCCGUGAAAAUCCGGGGCUCAACCCCGGACUUGCGGUGGGUACGGGCAGACUAGAGUGUGGUAGGGGAGACUGGAAUUCCUGGUGUAGCGGUGAAAUGCGCAGAUAUCAGGAGGAACACCGAUGGCGAAGGCAGGUCUCUGGGCCACUACUGACGCUGAGAAGCGAAAGCAUGGGGAGCGGACAGG